rnacentral:rRNA from 1 species
GCUUUCUUUCACCGAACGCUUGCAUUCACCGAAAGAGGCUUAGUGGCGAACGGGUGAGUAACACGUAGGCAACCUGCCCAAAAGAGGGGGAUAACACUUGGAAACAGGUGCUAAUACCGCAUAACCAUGAACACCGCAUGAUGUUCAUGUAAAAGACGGCUUUUGCUGUCACUUUUGGAUGGGCCUGCGGCGUAUUAACUUGUUGGUGGGGUAACGGCCUACCAAGGUGAUGAUACGUAGCCGAAACUGAGAGGUUGAUCGGCCACAUUGGGACUGAGACACGGCCCAAACUCCUACGGGAGGCAGCAGUAGGGAAUCUUCCACAAUGGACGAAAAGUCUGAUGGAGCAACGCCGCGUGAAUGAAGAAGGCCUUCGGGUCGUAAAAUUCUGUUGUCAGAGAAGAACGUGCGUGAGAGUAACUGUUCACGUAUUGACGGUAUCUGACCAGAAAGCCACGGCUAACUACGUGCCAGCAGCCGCGGUAAUACGUAGGUGGCGAGCGUUGUCCGGAUUUAUUGGGCGUAAAGGGAACGCAGGCGGUCUUUUAAGUCUGAUGUGAAAGCCUUCGGCUUAACCGAAGUAGUGCAUUGGAAACUGGAAGACUUGAGUGCAGAAGAGGAGAGUGGAACUCCAUGUGUAGCGGUGAAAUGCGUAGAUAUAA